UUUCCAGACUCCUACGGGAGGCAGCAGUGGGGGAUAUUGCACAAUGGGGGGAACCCUGAUGCAGCGACGCCGCGUGGGUGAAGGAGUAAUUCGUUAUGUAAAGCUCUAUCAGCAGGGAAGAAACAGACGGUACCUGAGUAAGAAGCCCCGGCUAACUACGUGCCAGCAGCCGCGGUAAUACGUAGGGGGCAAGCGUUAUCCGGAUUUACUGGGUGUAAAGGGGGCGCAGACGGCAGCGCAAGCCAGGAGUGAAAGCCCGGGGCCCAACCCCGGGACUGCUCUUGGAACUGCGCGGCUGGAGUGCAGGAGAGGUAAGUGGAAUUCCUAGUGUAGCGGUGAAAUGCGUAGAUAUUAGGAGGAACACCAGUGGCGAAGGCGGCUUACUGGACUGUAACUGACGUUGAGGCUCGAAAGCGUGGGGAGCAAACAGGAUUAGAUACCCUUGUAU
rnacentral:rRNA from 1 species